rnacentral:rRNA from 1 species
GUACCUACGGGGGGCAGCAGUGACGAAUAUUGGUCAAUGGGCGGAAGCCUGAACCAGCCAAGUCGCGUGAGGGAAGAAGGCCCUGCGGGUCGCAGACCUCUUUGGACGGGGAGCAAGGCCGCCGACGUGUCGGCGGAAGGAGAGUACCCGAAGAAAAAGCAUCGGCUAACUCCGUGCCAGCAGCCGCGGUAAUACGGAGGAUGCGAGCGUUAUCCGGAUUUAUUGGGUUUAAAGGGCGCGUAGGCGGACUGGAAAGUGAGCGGUAAAAU